rnacentral:rRNA from 1 species
UGGGGAAUAUUGCACAAUGGGCGCAAGCCUGAUGCAGCCAUGCCGCGUGUGUGAAGAAGGCCUUCGGGUUGUAAAGCACUUUCAGCGAGGAGGAAGGGUAGUGUGUUAAUAGCACAUUGCAUUGACGUUACUCGCAGAAGAAGCACCGGCUAACUCCGUGCCAGCAGCCGCGGUAAUACGGAGGGUGCAAGCGUUAAUCGGAAUUACUGGGCGUAAAGCGCACGCAGGCGGUUUGUUAAGUCAGAUGUGAAAUCCCCGCGCUUAACGUGGGAACUGCAUUUGAAACUGGCAAGCUAGAGUCUUGUAGAGGGGGGUAGAAUUCCAGGUGUAGCGGUGAAAUGCGUAGAGAUCUGGAGGAAUACCGGUGGCGAAGGCGGCCCCCCUGGACAAAGACUGACGCUCAGGUGCGAAAGCGUGGGGAGCAAAACAGGAUUAGAUACCC